AUUGAACGCUGGCGGCAGGCCUAACACAUGCAAGUCGAACGAGUGGCGGACGGGUGAGUAAUGUCUGGGAAACUGCCUGAUGGAGGGGGAUAACUACUGGAAACGGUAGCUAAUACCGCAUACCAUCAGAUGUGCCCAUAUGGGAUUAGCUAGUUGGUGGGGUAACGGCUCACCAAGGCGACGAUCCCUAGCUGGUCUGAGAGGAUGACCGGCCAGACUGGAGCUGAGACACGGUCCAGACUGCGACGUGAUGCAGCAGUAGGGAAUAUUGCACAAUGGACGCAAGCCUGAUGCAGCCAUGCCGCGUGUAUGAAGAAGGCCUUCGGGUUGUAAAGUACUUUCAGCGGGGAGGCGUUACCCGCAGAAGAAGCACCGGCUAACUCCGUGCCAGCAGCCGCGGUAAUUC
rnacentral:rRNA from 1 species